GGAGAAGGGUUAAUAGGGGAAGCAGAGAGAGAGAGAUGAGAGACCAAAGUUUCUAGGGCCCUUAUCUCCAGAGCAGAGGGUCUGAAACCUUAGUGAGCAAAAACUGAUCCGGAAGACUUGUUGGAGGCAUACCUUCCAGUUCAGCGAGCCAUUUCAGCAGAUUGGAGAUCCCCUGCCUGCAGCACGUGCUGAUCUCCAAGGCUCCAUUUGGCUGCGUCCCUACCCUGCAUAACCCUCCCAGCUAGUCUACUCCAGGGCAGCGUCCAGCUGGUGACCUGAGAGGGCAGUGGCGCACCAGUCUCCAUGAAGGUUGAGCUCCGAUGGCCAACGGCCAUUUCCACCUUGUGGUCUACAACUCUUCAUCCCGACUGCAUGGAGGUUGGUCUCUCUCUUCAGCUGGAUUUAGGCCACCAUCUGAGCCCCCGGGGUACGUUUUGUCUGACCCUGGCGCCAUUCGAACGGUUCUUCUACAGCAUCAGGAGAACCUGGCUACAAGUCCCAGCCUUUACCAUGGAGGCUGAAGGUGUGGGGAGGGACUUCAGCCUUCUCCUCAGCCCUGCCCUUACUCUGAGACAAGGAGCACCCCUGGCACCGCAGUGAGAUCUCUGCCCUGCCAGCAGGCAGAGCCCUGGCACAGUCCUUUGCCCCAUCUCUUCUUCCCUCUACUAUUCAAGGUGGCUUACUUUGAAUCCAUUCUUCCUGUCAGGCCAUUGUUCCUUAUCCUCAUUAAAUCUAUGUUUCUUUAGAAAAGCAUUUUUAAAAAAUUUACAUG
ensembl:lncRNA PPP1R3B-DT PPP1R3B divergent transcript